CGACAAAACAACCGAACUUCCUGCUUCCGCUCUCCAAUGCGCGACAUUAGGUAAAAGUGAAAUUCCUGUCGCCUAGGACGACGUAUUACUGUACUUUGAUCGGGCCAAGACAGAAUGUGAAGCGCUCGUUUCAAAACGUCUCUUUUUGAAAGGUUUUUGACCCAUACAAUCGUGUGUCCUACUAUCACCCUUUUAUACGACUGAUGCGAUAGUAGUGCUUAGAGCACCGAUUAGGAAGACCGUAUUAACGUGUUGGAUUCAGUGAAGCACAGCGCAGUGCAUGUCUGCAUAGAUUCUGAGCAUCAAAAUAAACGAAUCUUCUCACUGCAACGCACUCAUGAAGUCAUGAGGAGAAGGACAAUAUUUGGGACCUUUACACCGGGGAAACAAGACCCCAGGGUUUCCCUACUAGCCUUGAGAUCUGGAGCACCUAGAGAAACCCCCACAACCUUGGGGUCUGGAUGAGCAUGCAACCUCUACUCCAGUAAAAUAAGGUUUAGGUUAAUUUUUGCUUGAAUAUCUCUGGCUGACAUUUAACCUGUUUGCACAUUGCUGUGCAUCUACGUCUAAUAAAUGACAUACUGUAACAUUUCUAA